UCAGAGGCGAAGAAGGACGUGAUAAGCUGCGAAAAGUUACGGGGAGAAGCACAUAUUUUAUGAUCCGUAAAUAUCCGAAUGGGGCAACCCGGUACAGUGAAGCUGUAUCACCACGCAAGUGGGGCAAACCCGGUGAACUGAAACAUCUAAGUAACCGGAGGAAGAGAAAACAAAAGUGAUUCCGUUAGUAGUGGCGAGCGAACGCGGAUUAGCCCAAACCAGUGUUGUUACGGCAAUACUGGGGUUGUAGGACCACGAUAUUCGAAGCUAAGUAAAUUAGAACUGUUUGGAAAGACAGACCACAGAGGGUGAUAGUCCCGUAUAAGUAAGCGAAGUUAAGAUAGUGGUAUCCUGAGUAGUGCGGGACACGAGUAAUCCUGUAUGAAUCCACCGGGACCAUCCGGUAAGGCUAAAUACUCCUGAGAGACCGAUAGUGAACUAGUACCGUGAGGGAAAGGUGAAAAGAACCCUAAGUAAGGGAGUGAAAGAGAUCCUGAAACCGUACGCCUACAAGCGGU
rnacentral:rRNA from 12 species